rnacentral:tRNA from 2 species
GUCUUAAUAAUAUAUAAAUUAAAUUAUAUUAAUUUUGUAAAUUAAAAAAGGUUAACUCCUUAAGACA